GUGGGUUACUGUUUAUACUGAUUGCAUCACCCUUCAGAAGGCACUGUCAUAUUAAUAUUUAAAUUUUAUAAUCACUGAACUUAUUACACCCAACAAUACAGAAUGGCAGUUACACUGAAGAAUUUAAUUUAGAAUAAAAUGGAAGCAAACAGGUUUUCUAAAAAUUUUUUUUAACUGACCAGGUCUCACUCUGUCACCCAGGCUGGAGUGCAGUGGCAUGAUCUCACUGCAAGCUCCGCCUCCUGGGUUUAUGCCAUUCUCCUGCCUCAGCCUGAGUACCUGGGACUACAGGCGCACACCACCUCGCCCGGCUAGUGUUUUUGUAUUUUUUAGUAGAGACGGGGUUUCACCGGGUUAGCCAGGAUGGUCUCGAUCUCCUGACCUCAUGAUCCGCCCGUCUCGGCCUCCCAAAGUGCUGGGAUUACAGGCUUGAGCCACCACACCCGGCCACCACCCUCUUCUUAAACUCACAGUGUCUCAGCUCUACUAACCUGCUUUCUGUUCUUGAAAACAAGUUUAUUCUUGACUCAGGGCCUUUCUCUUGCUCUUCGUCACCUGGAAUGUACCUCUGAUUCAGAACACAGCUGCAUCCUUUUAGAUUUCAGUUGAAAUAUUUCCUUAUUAGAGAGGCCUUUCCUGGUCAGCCUACUUAAAGCAAUUCCACUGCCCUCCUCACUCUUUACCAAAUUAAACUGGUUUAUUUUCAUCUACCAUUUACUAUUAUCUAAAAUUAUGGCAAGUUGAUUACAUGUUUACACGUCUCCUCUGCAUUGAUAAAUGUAACUCCACGAGCUACAGAUAUUGUUUGCUUUAGCUAUCUUCUUCCCUAGAUGACCUUACAGCCAACAGAUGCUCAUUAGUUAAAUUGUGUUUUUCAGAUCCCUGAAUUCAGUCAGUUUGGCUUAGAAGGAAAACCUCUGAUGAACUAAUCUCACAAAAAUGUCAGUGUCUGCUCAUAAUUGAGUGUCACCUUUUCCGUGAGUCUGCGAAUUUGAGAGAAAUCCUGAGAAUACAUAAGAGAUAUAUGGUAAGAGAGUGAUCUCAGGAAGGGCUUUCCUGGAGCCCUUUUGUGACACCCUCCUAUCUGGGCUAUGCUUUGCUAUUUCUGUUUCAUGAGAGAAAAGCAAACUACCUUCUAAAAUCUACCCAUCAACAGAUAACCACGAAAGGAAUGUCUACCAAUGGUGUACUGGUAAAUGUUAAGCAACUGACUCUCCUGGACAAUAAGGUCUUAUUUGUAUGUAUCUUUUGCCUAUUUCCAUGGUGUAAAUACUCAUCCCAUGGUUAAAUUCCAGCAAACAAUCUGAAGUCACUGAACAUAGACUUGGAAGAAGCCAUGCACCAUUGCUCUCUCCAGCUGGCCCAAGAAGGCUCCAGCACACCACUGACAUCUACUAGGUGCCAAGAAUAAUGUGCGGCAUUUUAUGUUCAGUCUCUCCUAUCUUUGCACCAUGCUAAAAACUAAUUUGUCAGUUACCUGUGAGAGAUGAGGAAAUAAACUUGGGU
rnacentral:lncRNA from 1 species